GGGCCGUUAGCUCAGUGGUAGAGCAGAAGCCUUUUAAGCUUUUGGUCAGAGGUUCGAAUCCUCUACGGCUCA
rfam:Candidatus Levybacteria bacterium RBG_16_35_11 RBG_16_scaffold_309, whole genome shotgun sequence.